GGCCAAUUAAUUUAAAAAAUACUUUUGAGCAGCAAUUAACAUUUGGCCAAACUUUUAAAAAGUGAUUUUAAGUGUAUUUUUCUCAAAAGUUCUUUUAAAAAAAGUGCUUAUGGAGAAAAACUACUUUUUAGCUUCUGAAAAUUGAUUUUGCUACUCCCGAAAAGUACUUAUUUUCUCUCAAAAGUUUAAUCAAACACCUCACUUUUUUUUUUUCAAAAUAAACACUUUUUGAAAAAAAAUUAACUACUUUUGAAGAAAAAAAAAGCAUAACCAAACGGGCUAUAAGUUUUCAUGAAACCAACAAGUAAUGCCCAUGAAGUUAAGUAAUACCCCGGAAGUACAUGGAGCUACCAUUCUCUAUCAAGUCCUUUCUGAACUGUAAUAACUCAAUUUUUUUAAAUAAGGGUUUGUUUGGUAAAUUUUGCUAAAAGAAAUUAAAAAAAAAAAAUAGAAAAGAAUGAACUUAGUGGGCCAAGCCCAAAAACGACAAGAAAAAAAGAAAAGAAAAAGAUUUUAAAAGCGGCUAAGCCAUCAGACGUGAAACACUAGAAUCUGAAAGGAACCAAAAAGAAAAAAAAGGACGACCAAACAGAGGGAGAAAAACCAAUAGAAAAAAGGAAAAUAACGGGGGAGAAAGAAAGGAAAAAAGGGGAUAAAAAUAAGAAUUUUCAUCCCAAAUCAUCAAGAUGCUAUGGGUGACUACGAAGCUAGUAGCUGACGAGUUUGCUAGAGUUGAUCUAUUGGUUGAGGUGAGCCGCCGCUUUGUUCGUGGAGGCUGCCAAAAGUGUCUUUAUCAUUUAUUUAUUAAUGUCUUUUCUUUUGGGGUUUUCAAACCCGAGUGUUUUGUAAUUCUCUUAAAUGCUCCAUGGUCUAGUGUGGGAUUUGGACAAGAGUAGUUGAUUAAUAUUCUGAGAUACUAGUUAUCCGUAAUUAAUUAUCAUGUUAUUCGGGUACUUCUUUAAAUUAUUAAAUGCUGGGAAAUUGUGGUUAAGAUAUGAAAAUUUGAUUCGCCUGGCUGGUGGUGUA